GAUGAACGCUGGCGGCGUGCUUAACACAUGCAAGUCGAACGGGAAUUAUUUUAUUGCAACUUCGGUCGAUAUGAUUUAAUUCUAGUGGCGGACGGGUGAGUAACGCGUGGGUAACCUGCCUUGUACAGGGGGAUAACAGUCAGAAAUGGCUGCUAAUACCGCAUAAGCGCACAGAGCUGCAUGGCUCCGUGUGAAAAACUACGGUGGUAUAAGAUGGACCCGCGUUGGAUUAGCUUGUUGGCAGGGUAACGGCCUACCAAGGCGACGAUCCAUAGCCGGCCUGAGAGGGUGAACGGCCACAUUGGGACUGAGACACGGCCCAGACUCCUACGGGAGGCAGCAGUGGGGAAUAUUGCACAAUGGGGGAAACCCUGAUGCAGCGACGCCGCGUGAAGGAAGAAGUAUCUCGGUAUGUAAACUUCUAUCAGCAGGGAAGAGAUUGACGGUACCUGACGAAGAAGCCCCGGCUAACUACGUG
rnacentral:rRNA from 1 species